rnacentral:misc_RNA from 1 species
GCGACCGGCCCCAAAACCCAAAGAAGCGAUCCUUUGUCUUCAGCAAAAGGAGUUGAUACCAAUUUUCCUUCUUCCACCGAUUGGUGAGUCAACCCAUAAAAGGAAGCAGAACCUGAUUUCCCUCCAAAUGGUUCCGAACCAUGAAACCUAUCAGCAGGUACAGCAGCAUCAUCUCGACCCAAAAGCUUCAAAUUUGUGUUUCCACUAGAAUUGGAACUAGAAGCACGUACAAUAACUCCUCUGUUCAAGCAUGAUGACGGAAACCCUUUAAAUACAUUAUCCAAGCCCAGAAUCAGAAAUGAUUUUGAGGCACUUCCAAGCCUUGAAGAAACAGUUUGCUGAUACAAUAAACGAUAAGCUGGAAAUCUGAGUUUUGGAGCAGUAAACCCACGACAAACUGAUUGCAGUUCCAUUUUCUGGGAAGGAUUAUAGGGUUUAAAGGUAACAGUUGGCGAGCUUUCUCCGUUUUGAAUACUUUUUUGGUGAUUCAGGACUUAAACCCUAGAAGCCUAAAUUCUGC